rnacentral:misc_RNA from 1 species
ACAUCAAAAUUUCUACCCACUCUUAUUGAGAGUAUGUUUUACUUUAUAUGCCCAAUAUUCAUUCCCAUAUAACAUAGCUAGUCCUACUAUUCUAUGAAAUUUAUCAUUCACUUUAUCAAGAAUCCUAUGGUUGCAUAGCACACUCGUUGCACUUCUCCAUUUCAUACAUCUUAUUUUGAUCCUGUGAGUUAUAUCCUCAUUUGUUACUCCUUUCUUAUAGAUGCUAUAACCUAAAUACUUAAAUUGAUUACAUUUUAGCUCCAAAACUCCAUAGAAAGGUGCAUUUUUGAAAUAGGGAAGCAAAGUCAAAA